rnacentral:tRNA from 1 species
GCCCGCGUGGCGGAACUGGCAGACGCGCACGGCUUAGGACCGUGUGGGGAAACCCAUAGAGGUUCAAGUCCUCUCGUGGGCA